rnacentral:rRNA from 1 species
CCCGACUGCUAUCGGAUUGAGAUUUAGCCAUGCGAGUCGAACGUCCUCCUGUUGCGGGGGGCGUGGCGUACGGCUCAGGAACGGGUAGUCAACCUGCCCUGGAGACACGGACAACCCCGGGAAACUGGGACUAAUCCGUGAUAGGUCACCUCAUCUGGAAGGAGAGAUGGCCCAAAGGGGCGCGCGGGCUUCUUCUGCGCGUUCGCUCCAGGAUGGGACUGCGACCGAUCAGGCUGUUGGCGGGGUAAAGGCCCACCAAACCUGUAACCGGUACGGGCCUUGAGAGAGGUGGCCCGGAGAUGGACACUGACAAAAGGGUCCAGGUCCUACGGGGCGCAGCAUGCGCGAAACCUUCNCAAUGCGCGACAGCGUGACUAGGGUUAUCCGACGUGAUCUCCGCUGAGGAGACCUUUUGUCGGCUGUAAAUAUGCCGGCGACUAA